UAGUAGUCGCGCAUCUUCUGAUCACGCUCCAGUGAGGGAAUUAAGGACAGCACGUUGUCCUUGUAACGGGGAUGCAGCAGGGUGGCCACCCAGUUAUCAGCACAAGUUAGAAUGUGGGCAACUCGGCAGUCGUUGUGCAGGCACUUUAGUGACUCAAGAUAACCCUGGGCCGAUUGCACGUCCCACGGCGACGACGCAUUCGGAUGUCUGCCCUAUCAACUUUCGAUGGUACUUUCUGCACCUAUCAUGGUGACCACGGGUAACAGGGAAUCAGGGUUCGAUUCCA